AGUGAACGCUGGCGGUAGGCCUAACACAUGCAAGUCGAACGGCAGCACAGUAAGAGCUUGCUCUUACGGGUGGCGAGUGGCGGACGGGUGAGGAAUACAUCGGAAUCUACUUUUUCGUGGGGGAUAACGUAGGGAAACUUACGCUAAUACCGCAUACGACCUACGGGUGAAAGCAGGGGAUCUUCGGACCUUGCGCGAUUGAAUGAGCCGAUGUCGGAUUAGCUAGUUGGCGGGGUAAAGGCCCACCAAGGCGACGAUCCGUAGCUGGUCUGAGAGGAUGAUCAGCCACACUGGAACGGAGACACGGUCCAGACUCCUACGGGAGGCAGCAGUGGGGAAUAUUGGACAAUGGGCGCAAGCCUGAUCCAGCCAUACCGCGUGGGUGAAGAAGGCCUUCGGGUUGUAAAGCCCUUUUGUUGGGAAAGAAAAGCAGCAGGUUAAUACCCCGCUGUUCUGGCGGUACCCAAAGAAUAAGCACCGGCUAACUUCGUG
rnacentral:rRNA from 1 species